AGCGAACGCUGGCGGCAUGCCUAACACAUGCAAGUCGCACGGGGGGGCUUCGGCCUCCCAGUGGCGGACGGGUGAGGAACGCGUAGGGACCUGUCGAGGGGUGGGGGAUAACCGCGGGAAACUGCGGCUAAUACCGCAUGACGCCGCGGCGUGACAGCCGGGGCCAAAGGCGAAAGCCGCCCGCCGAGGGGCCUGCGUCCGAUUAGCUGGUUGGCGGGGUAGCGGCCCACAAGGCGUCGAUCGGUAGCUGGUCUGAGAGGGUGAUCAGCCACACCGGGACUGAGACACGGCCCGGACUCCUACGGGAGGCAGCAGUGGGGAAUAUUGGACAAUGGGCGCAAGCCUGAUCCAGCAAUGCCGCGUGGGUGAAGAAGGUCUUCGGAUUGUAAAGCCCUUUCGGCGGGGACGAUGGUGACGGUACCCGCAGAAGAAGCCCCGGCUAACUUCGUG
rnacentral:rRNA from 1 species